AUUUUUAAAAAAGCAAACAUUUCAUGGAGUCGACGAACGAGGUGUGAUGGAACUAUAUUAAAAAAGAGUAUCACGAUUCAAGAAUACAUCGAUAACAAUUUAUCUUCAAAUUUGACCAGCGAUGAAGAAAAAGAAAAUUAUUUUUGGAAUAUUUUGGGUAAAAGUAACAAUGUGAUCGAGUACGCUUCAUAUAUUGAUGGUUCUUUCUUAGAGAAGAAAAAAAAGUUAUUUGGAAAUCCAAAUUCAUUGAAUACUUCUAUGGACUCAUACGUACGUGAUAAGGGUUCAGUGGAUGUACACUCACCUUAUUUAUACGCCGGUAUGACAUUUGCUUCGUUUGCGGUACAUGUAGAAGAUCACAAUUUAUAUGCGUACAAUUUCAAUCAUGGUCCCGGUCGUAAAUUACUGUAUUUAAUUCCAAUGUCCGAAGCACACAAAUUAGAAGAAAGUUUAAAAUCAUUUUACAAUGAAGACUUCAUAAAGUGCCGUGGAUUCAUACAAAACCGUUUUAUUUUCCCCAGUGAACAUUUCUUAAAUAGUAAUAAUAUAAAGUAUUUCAAAGUAAUUCAAAAAAAAAUACGAGGGUUUAGUUUUAUGGCCACGAACGUAUCAUUUUGGUUUCAAUUAGGAUAAUUGCGUAAAUGAAUUGGUGAAUUUCGGAACGGAAUAUUGGUUAUCAGUAGCCCAUCUGUUCGAGGAAUGUGUAUGCAGAACUAAAAAUCCAUUAUUAAAAAUAUCAUAUUUUUAAGAUAAAUAUCCACAAAUUUCUUCAUCAAAAUCAGAAAAAUACGCAGAAUUUAAAAAAUAUAUUUAUAAACUUUACAAUCCAAGAAAUGAAGAGAAUUUAAUUUUCUCAAACCAAUCAACACAAACGAAUACUGCAGUACGUGAUGAUGCAAAUGAUCAAAGAAGUGAUUACACUACCAACAAAUAUAUGAGCGAGAAUUAAUGAACAAUGAGAAUUGUAAAAUCAACCUACAUGUGUCGAAUAAUAAUAUAUUUCAAAAUUACUUUGAAAAUGGGGUACGGCUCUACAAGGAAACUAGCGAUAACUUUAUUUUCGAACGUGGAAACAGAAACGAAACAAAAAGUAAUUACCCAGUCCAUCGAGUGGUUUUCAUAAAAAAAUACAAGAUUCAGAUACGCUUAUACGAAAAUAAGAUGUGGAAGAACAACACCGGGGGUUGUAUGCAGUAUAUACAUAUAAAAAGCGUCGAUUUUUUUGCUUCAAAAAAUCAACAAAUAACUGUUUUUAUUGGCAUCAUAUUGCAUUAGAUAAGACUGGGCAUUAUCCGAUAUUUGCCAAUCAAAGAAGUCGCUAUGUAAAUUGCAAAAAGCACGUAACGCCUGUGAAAUGUUGCAUUUGUUUAAAAUAUUACUGCCUUACCCGGAAAACGAAUUGUUUUUAC